AGCAGCCGCGGUAAUUCCAGCUCCAAUAGCGUAUAUUAAAGUUGUUGCAGUUAAAAAGCUCGUAGUUGAAUUUCGGGAUUAGUGCGCUGGUCAUGCCUUUGGUAUGUACUGGUGUUACUGAUUUCUACCUUCUGAGGAACCGUUAUGUCAUUUAUUUGGUGUGGCGGGGAAUCAGGACUGUUACUCUGAAAAAAUUAGAGUGUUUAAAGCAGGCUCGCGCUUGAAUACAUUAGCAUGGAAUAAUGAAAUAGGACGUUUGACCCUAUUUUGUUGGUUUCUAGGAUCGACGUAGUGAUUAAUAGGGAUAGUUGGGGGCAUUAGUAUUCAAUUGUCAGAGGUGAAAUUCUUGGAUUUAUUGAAGACUAACUACUGCGAAAGCAUUUGCCAAGGAUGUUUUCAUUAAUCAAGAACGAAAGUUAGGGGAUCGAAGACGAUCAGAUACCGUCGUAGUCUUAACCAUAGACUAUGCCGACUAGGGAUCGGAUGAUGUUAAUUUUUUAAUGACUCA
rnacentral:rRNA from 1 species